rnacentral:lncRNA from 1 species
CCCCCCGAGUUUGACGACUUCUGGCCGAAGCGACAGAAGUGUCAGGAAGAGAUUGUGAUACUCCCCCCCGAGUUUGACGACUUCUGGCCGAAGCGACAGAAGUGUCAGGAAGAACUUGGGAUUCUCCCCCUUGAGAUCAUUAAGGCCGAAGCGUCAAAAUGACCUCUGGUCUACUAAGGCCGAAGCGACAAAGCAGACCGACUCA